rnacentral:rRNA from 1 species
ACGGAAGGCAGCAGUGGGGAAUAUUGCACAAUGGGCGAAAGCCUGAUGCAGCGACGCCGCGUGAGUGAAGAAGUAUCUCGGUAUGUAAAGCUCUGUCAGCAGGGAAGAAAAUGACGGUACCUGACUAAGAAGCCCCGGCUAACUACGUGCCAGCAGCCGCGGUAAUACGUAGGGGGCAAGCGUUAUCCGGAUUUACUGGGUGUAAAGGGAGCGUAGACGGUUUGGCAAGUCUGAAGUGAAAUGCGGGGGCUCAACUCCUGAACUGCUUUGGAAACUGUCGAACUAGAGUGCAGGAGAGGUAAGUGGAAUUCCUAGUGUAGCGGUGAAAUGCGUAGAUAUUAGGAGGAACACCAGUGGCGAAGGCGGCUUACUGGACUGUAACUGACGUUGAGGCUCGAAAGCGUGGGGAGCAAACAGGAUUAGAUACCCUGGUA